AUAACUAUGGCAGAGAGCAGGAGGAUUGACAUGGCCCUGAGGCAAGACUAUGAAAGUGUACUCUUAGCCCUGACGAGUAGAAACAAACUGUUCCUGGUGGUCUUUACAAAUUGGUAUGGAGGAAAAGGCAUACAGCAGAUACAAUGAAAAGGACAUUUGUAAACCAAAAGAGGAUAUGCACACAACAAAAUAGACGUCUGAGAGAUCCAUGCAGCCAUAAAUCUGAAGGUGGAGGUGCUGGAAGAAGGUAAGGGGAUCUCCUUUUCCUCCCUGAAUGGCAGUGAUGUAGGGCAUGGGACUGUGUAUGGCAGCCAGCAUGCAACUCUGAGAGGAGAUGGGGAAAAGGAAGCUCUCUGCAGGAACGCCUUUGCUCUUGGAGUUGCCUCCCAGUCCAUGGGAACGCUCCACACUGAGGAGGCUAAACAAUCAUGUGGGCAUCAUCACCAAGCUGAGCAGCCCAGGAGGGCAGACAGCAAAUGCAAAGCGGGAGUGGCCAGGAUCAGGCACAUGACAGAAAGCACCUCCCACCUGCCCAGUCCACCAACUUGGCUGGUCGACCAGAGCAGAGGACCAGCACCAGAGUUGCCUGUGCACCUACAUGUGUAAAGCAGUGGUGGCCAGAGGGCAAAUGCAGACCGGCCCUGUCAACACAGUUUCCAAAGGACAGACACAGCUGCCAGGGGUCACAGUGGGCUCAAAAUACACAGCUCCUGCCCCCCCACAGUGGCAGCAGGUGGAAUCUGCAACCAGAUACUACCACUAUGUG
rnacentral:lncRNA from 1 species